GACGAACGCUGGCGGCGUGCCUAAUACAUGCAAGUAGAACGCUGAAGAGAGGAGCUUGCUCUUCUUGGAUGAGUUGCGAACGGGUGAGUAACGCGUUGGUAACCUGCCUUGUAGCGGGGGAUAACUAUUGGAAACGAUAGCUAAUACCGCAUAACAAUGGAUGACACAUGUCAUUUAUUUGAAAGGGGCAAUUGCUCCACUACAAGAUGGACCUGCGUUGUAUUAGCUAGUAGGUGAGGUAAUGGCUCACCUAGGCGACGAUACAUAGCCGACCUGAGAGGGGGAGCGGCCAAGCUGGGACGGGAGCACGGCCCGGACCCUUGGGGGAGGGACCCGGAGGGAACUCUCAGGGAAGGGAGCAGUGGGGAACGAGGCACGCCGCGUGAGUGAAGGACGCUGUCGGGUCGUGUGAAUCUGGUGGGAGUUAGGAUCGGGAAUGUGUUUGGAAGGGUCAGACAAUGACGGUACCUGACCAAAAAGGGCCGGCUAACUACGUG
rnacentral:rRNA from 1 species